UCAAUUUUAAACAAAAAUAUGUUUCAUGUAGCGGUUUUACGAUUUACAUUAUGCUUCAUAAUUGAGACACUGUGUACUGUUUUGAACAAAGAAAUAUGGAAAACGAUACGAAGUUUGGAAAAUGAACUUUCCUCUGCAUUUUUACUAUUCAUAAAACAGAGAUCGAACCGGUAGUACUUUUGCCCCUGAUGAUCAGACAUAUUGAAUAAGAAAAGAAGGGAAAGUAAACUGAUAUUGCAGUUUAUGAGCUGUUAGAAGUCUCGAUUUUGUUUCAGAGUGAAACUUGUGAAAUUUUUACUCAACAAGUAUCGGUAUCUAACAGUAACAUGGGACAAUAUUUUGUGUCAGGCAUCCGUUCUCUAUUACCUCAGCCCCUGGCGACGACUACCUGAGUGUUCAUAUUCGGCAACUGGGUGAUUGGACACAGGAGCUUAAAAGGGUGUUCUCUGAGGCCUGUGAGCCUCCUGUAUCUGGGAAGAGUGGGCUUCUCAGGGCUGAUGAAACCACGAAGAAAAGGUAUAUGUGGCACUUGCCAUUUUCUGUUGUUGCUUUCUUAUCUUUGGUCCUGGGAAAGUAGGGGAAAAUAAUUUAUACAUGAUUCCAAGCCAAAACUUGUUAACCAUUGAUGCAGUUUGCCGAAGUUAAAGAUCGAUGGACCUUACGGUGCACCGGCACAAGAUUAUAAAAAAUAUGAUGUUUUGUUACUAGUCGGUCUCGGGAUAGGAGCAACACCUUUCAUCAGCAUUCUAAAAGAUCUUCUCAACAACAUCAUCAAAAUGGAGGAAAUGGCGGUGAGUUCCAGCGGUUCAUUGUAUUAGUUAAUGAACAUUAAGACAGUAAAGUAGUUAAUAUUCAUGUUAUUCAUAGCUUAACUCUGGCGUGUUAUGUGUCGCAUACAAAUUGUCAUGCUCAUGAAUAUUAUUUGAACAUCUGUAUGCAAAUUUAGUACCACGAAAUAUAACUAUCUGGGUUACUUUUAUUCAGGAUUCAAUCUCUGAUAUAAGUAGAGGUUCAGACCUUAGUGUUGGGAGUACUACAGACUCACCAUCUCUUAAUAAAAUUGCGCCAAAACGGAAGAAAACACUUAAGACCACCAACGCUUAUUUUUACUGGGUUACAAGAGAGCAAGGUUCUUUUGAUUGGUUCAAAGGAGUCAUGAAUGAAGUAGCAGAGCUUGAUCAAAGGGUAUUUAGUUUCUGCAGAAAAUUUAUUUCUUAUUAUACUUCCUCCCGAAGAACUUUUAGUAUUCCUUGUCCCUGCCACAAAGAUGAAUAAUGUUUUUUUCGCAAUGGCUAAUGUUGAACAUCAAAUUUGGACUUCAGGGUGUCAUUGAGAUGCACAACUACUUGACCAGCGUAUACGAGGAAGGGGAUGCUAGAUCUGCCCUCAUCACCAUGGUACAAGCACUCAACCAUGCCAAAAACGGAGUUGACAUUGUUUCUGGGACCAGAGUAAGCCUUCGCGUUUCAUUGUUUUUAUGUAUUAUUCGCUAUGUUUAGCAUUUAGCCCCUUUUUAAUGCCAUAAUCGGAGUGAGUAAAUUUAAAACCUCGCUUACUUCUUUGAAUUCCUACUACCAGGUGCGAACUCAUUUUGCUAGGCCCAACUGGAAGAAGGUUUUCAAUAAAAUGUGCUCCAAGCACUAUAAUGGAAGAAUAGGUUAGUUAGUCUCAAUCAAGCGUAUUUUGGUAGUCGGUAGACUUUUUUUUAACCCCCUUUUUUCAAUGUCAUCAUUUGAACACGUCAAGUAAGUCUUAGAUAUUACAAAAUUUUAUUUAUAUGUCUCACUUUUUUAUCUUUUUUUUUUAUACACUUAUCUCAAAAUUAUUCUUUCAUUCUUCCUUUUAUUUUCUCCCUUUACUGACAUUAUGGCUAUCAUGAUUCGGAUCAGGGGUAUUUUAUUGUGGUGCACCAGUUUUGGCCAAAGAACUGAGCAAGCUCUGCUUCGAGUUCAAUGAAAAGGGUCCAACAAAAUUUGAGUUCCACAAGGAGCACUUUUAAAGAAUUUGGGCUGAGCACUCCCAAAUGUACUAAAAGUUAACAGGGUCAUCUCAACUUAAACCCGUCAUUUUAGUAACUUGGCGUGGUCAUAUUAUAUGAUUAAUAUUCAACAAGUAAAACCUUUUUGUAUAGAUGUGAAGCAUUGUACAUAGAGCCAGCAAGAUUGCUUGGCAUUUCAGUAUACAUGUGGCCUCAUAACUAAAGAGAUAAGCGCAGUGGUACUGUCCACCACCUAGAGUGCGAUACAACUACAUUGGAGAUGCUGACCUGAUCGUGGGAGCCACAUCAACUGUUGGCAGAUAGAUCCACAGUGAAUUGGAUAUGGACAUUUUUGAAAAAGAUAAUAGAAGGUAAAGGGACUAAAGAAUGUGGCUGGGAUACCUUUUCAAGAGCAACUUUCUCAUUUUUCCUUCCAGGGGAUUCCAGGAAUUCUUGAGAACUCAGAGUGAGGCAAAUGAAUCACCUCUACUUCUGCUUGGGUUCUAACGGGGAGAAGGGGAUUAUACAUAUCUAUGUAAAUGAAACCGGUAUAGUGUUUUCCUUUUUCAAAGUGAUCAAUAGUUUUAACCUUUAUUUAUUUAUUUGAUUAUAUACAUGAAGUAAAACUAUUGGUUUGUGAACACGACUUAAACUAUUGAGCCACGAUGAUAUUUUCUGGUGCUCAUUUAGUCAAUGCAUAUUAAAAUUAUCUGCGCAGAGUUUACGAACCAGAUCAGGAGUAUAUUAAUAUCAAAUUCUUCAGUAAGGUUCCAUUUGGGUCAUGUUUUCGGCAAAGACUUUGAAUAUGAUUUAAACACGUCCUCAAUAAAUGCUACUCGAAUCCUCGUUUGGAUGCAAAGGAUGUGCGUGAAAUAAACUCAAGAUGCUUAAUCUCUUCUGCAUAAUGGAGAAGGGGUUUGUUCAAUGUCAGCUGUAAUGAAAUUGUAAAUACACAACUGUAUGCGCCAUUUGAAAUAUACAAAAUUUUACAUUACAAAUUACUAUUUUUUCUCUUGGUUGUUGAUUUUCUGACCUGCAUGUCAGAAUUUAUGAAAAUAAGAAAAAAAAUAUUAAACACGUUACUAAAGUUCUUUGUGAUAUUAUUAAUCUUAUUAUAUAUUGUGGAGCAAUUUAGAGCAGAUGGCUCGGCGCAUAGAGAGGAUCUAGAGUAUGAAUACAUUUUUAUUUAGAUCAAACAUCCGUAUGAUACACUAAAUGCACAACUGAUAAAAGUACGUCUUGUGUAAAAUGCAAGCCCAAAGGGCUCAAAGGGUUGAGUUCCACCGUUUUUGUGAAAUGGAAGAAGGAUUUAUGAUAUCUCUUUGACCGAUUCACCGUGUAAGGGAAACGAUAUGGAUAAAAUGGUGGGGACUAUCAACAUUAGAAUCAUGUGGGAUAAGUUUGAUGACUUGAAUAUUAAUUAACUUCCCCAUCAAAGAGUUAAAAUUAUUUUCCAAAAGAAAAGCUGGGUCUUCAUGACCAAAUCAAAACAUAUUUAAUUGCCACAUUUCUCAACGGCGAAAAUCGAAAAGGUAGUGGAAUGAAACUGGCCUAAUUUUUUAGUUUGUUACAACGCAUUUGCUGAUCCAAUACUCUGCACUGCUGCAUUUCAUAUUCCUUCAGGCCGGAUGUGUCUUUUCCCUCACUCCUAUUUCUAGAAUCCUUCAAAGUCACUACUCUUGAAUCAUCAUCUCAAUUUUUUAGUCCAUAAAUCAAGUACAUUUAUCAUUCUUUGCCUUUAAUUUAAGUAACUUCCCAUUUAGUCAUCGGUCAAGCCGUGCAAAUACUGGAAACGCGUUCAGGAAAACAUCAACCCAUAAUUCCUUAAUUCUCAAUACCUCAAGGUCAAGACAAAUAACCUUUUUUUCUUCUUUUUACCGUUUCUGAUCAAUACAAGAUUUUCAACCAAAAACUUCAAAUUAAUUGCACAAAAAUACUAAUAUUUAUUCAUGUGGUCACUCUCUUAUCAUAUGUGUGGAGAUCGAAAACCACCAACAUCUCAUCAUAUAUAUAUAUGUAUACCUGAACAACAAGAUUUUAUUAGUAUUCAAGACAAAACAAAAAAUGUUAUAUUUAAUAACUAAAUUUAUCAUGUCAAUUACAUCGCAGGUGCAGGAGACAGAGUUGUCGCUAUCAACGUGGAAUCAACCAUUUGAAGACAUUUCAUAUUGGAAAUUGAUCUAAGUACCCACCACCCAUUUGCUAGUAAGCCAUAAUGUAUAGUUUCAAGAAGACCAUCUCAUACUAAGUUAAAUUCCCAGUACCAUCACAAAUCAGCAUGGCUCAGCAGAGUCCUGAUCAGCAGAUCAAGCCCUUGGCUCCAUUCAUAUCAUCAUCCCACUUCAACUCACAAGAAGAUCAAGACUACGCAUCCACACACAGAAAAAACAUUCGAAUAAGAAAGUUUAUCCAGUGCUGCGGUUGUGCCACUGCAAUUGCUGUGCUACUUGUGGUCAUAGUACUGGUCUUGGGCUUCACCGUUUACAAUGUCAAAGACCCCCAGGUGAGGAUGAACGGGGCUACCCUUAUCAGUGGAACUUUCGCCAACGGUGCUACUGACAACGUUACGAUUCUUGCUGAUAUAUCUGUGAAGAAUCCAAACGCUUUUACCUUCAGAUUUGAAAACGCCUGGACCGAUGUUUACUAUAACGGAGAGGAAAUAGGUGAUGGUGAAUCUCCACCGGGGAAAGCCAAGCCCAGAAGAACCAUAAGGGUCAACACCACCAUGGAGAUUAUGGCAAAGAAGCUUCUGGCGAUUCCAAAUUUGGAUACUGACCUAAAGGAUCAGGCUUUGAAUAUCAGCAGCUAUACCAGGAUUGAUGGUAAGGUCAAAAUACUAAACAUUUUUCCGAGGAAAGUUGUGGUUGAGAUGAAUUGCACAAUCACAUACAACAUCACCACUGGGUCGAUUAAAAAUGGUGACAAUUGUCUUGGAAACGUUGAUAUUUAGGUUGGUUUUGAUGUUAAUUCUUUGUGAAAUUUGUUAGGAUGAUGAUAGAAGUGGAAAAUAGCUAGUGUUUGUAGGUUGCUCAAUUUUCUGCAGUUUAAUUGUAUCUGAUUAUGGAUAUAUGAUUUGAGUUAAUCCUAUNUAAACCCUAGACCACUUACACGCACUGAUUCUUGAGUAAUUUUUUGGAAAAAAAAACUUGUCACCUUUAAAAAUAUACUAAUUUUUUAGACGAAAUAGAAAAAAAGAUUAAUAUAUAUAUAUAUAUAUAUAUAUAUAUAUAUAUAUAUAUAUAUAAAUAUAAGAUAACUGUGAUUUCAAGUUUAUAUUUUGAUGGAAAUAUCACAUUUGUUCCUUUUUUAUCUAUUUGUAAGAUUUUUUUGGUACAUUCUAUUGUAAGUUUAGAACAUGUAUGUGAUAACUAGUGUAAAAUUAAUGGUUACCCUCCUAGGUAUAAAGGGAAAACAAUUGACAAUUAUCAUAAAAAAUAAGUUAAAGAAUGCAUAUAAAAAGUAAAUAUUUUAAAUAUGUUUUAAUUUUAUUUAUUGCAUUUAUUUUAAAUGUAAUUUUCUUUUAUAAUUUUAAAUUAAAAAUGACUUUUUCGUUUUAAUGGUAUUUCAAUUUUGUUUAUUUUAAAUUCUUUAUAACUGACGAACAUAUUUUAUUAAUAAGCACAACACUAAAUUGGGCGAGUAGCAUAAAUUUUCUUAAAUCAAUAAAUGCAUAUAUUUUUAUAAUUUAAUACGGAAAUGAUAUUAAAGCUUAUAUUGGCUUAACGAAUGAGAGUGAAAUUAUCUUAAAAAUUUAACGAUUGUACAUAAAAAGUUAAAGUGCAGAAAAAAAAAAAAAUCUGUUAGAAAUAAAAAUAUAUCAGAAACAUAAUAAAUUUAUGUUCGCUGAUAGUUCGGUACAUGAUUUCCAGUUUUACUUAUUGAUGCUUAUAUGAUUUCCAGUUUUACUUUCUGAUUCUUACAGACAAUUGCUGGGGCCAUUGUGAUUGGUAUUAUACUUCAUGCCGGAGAUCACCUUGCUUGUGAUUUUCCAAGACUUGUAAGUACGUCUGAAGACAAUUAUGAGAAGUAUUUGAAAGGUGUAUUUGGUGAUAAUAAACCCAGUUACGGAGACCUGGCUAAAGGCGUCGAGGGUGUGACUGGAAUUUUGAUGGUGAUUCUUAUGAUAAUAGCAUUUACACUUGCAACCAAAUGGUUCCGGAGAAAUCUCAUUAAGCUGCCUAAACCAUUUAGUAGGCUCACUGGCUUCAAUGCCUUCUGGUAUUCACAUCAUCUGUUUGUCAUCGUAUACGUCCUUCUUAUAAUCCACGGAACAAAACUUUACCUCGUGCAUAAAUGGUACCUUAAAACGGUAUACAUAUUUCAAUUAUUUAGGAUAUCUUUCAAAUGCUUUGUUUACCUGUAAUUAGUGACUUACGUUCUGGUUUCCGUUUGCAGACAUGGAUGUAUCUUGCGGUUCCAGUUUUACUUUAUACGUCCGAAAGAAUACUCAGACUAUUUCGUUCUGGCCUGUAUACAGUUCGUCUUGGAAAGGUUAGCUGAUUAAGUGGACCAAUAGUUAGGCUCUAAAUUUUCGACUUCAUAACAAACAUGGUUUUAUUACUUGUCUCAACUACUAUUAAGUGCAAUUGGCCUGGGCUAAUUGUGAGCAUCCAGACUCUAGAGUCAUAAAAAGUAAACUAAAAACUGCCAGGAACUUCCAUAUCUAAAAAACUACUCUAACUCUAUAACUUCAUAUAAAUUAGUGCCAAAUAUAAAUUGAACAGCAUGCUAACUUCGUUUUCUCCCUUUUUCUUUUUCUUUUUUAAAAAAUGGAAAAUAUUCAGGUUGCCAUAUAUCCUGGAAAUGUUCUCACAUUGCAAAUGUCUAAGCCUCCUCAAUUUCGUUACAAGAGCGGACAAUACAUGUUUGUGCAGUGUCCUGCUGUUUCUCCGUUUGAAUGGUGAGUUGCAUUUCAAUUUUAAACAAAAAUAUGUUUCAUGUAGCGGUUUUACGAUUUACAUUAUGCUUCAUAAUUGAGACACUGUGUACUGUUUUGAACAAAGAAAUAUGGAAAACGAUACGAAGUUUGGAAAAUGAACUUUCCUCUGCAUUUUUACUAUUCAUAAAACAGAGAUCGAACCGGUAGUACUUUUGCCCCUGAUGAUCAGACAUAUUGAAUAAGAAAAGAAGGGAAAGUAAACUGAUAUUGCAGUUUAUGAGCUGUUAGAAGUCUCGAUUUUGUUUCAGAGUGAAACUUGUGAAAUUUUUACUCAACAAGUAUCGGUAUCUAACAGUAACAUGGGACAAUAUUUUGUGUCAGGCAUCCGUUCUCUAUUACCUCAGCCCCUGGCGACGACUACCUGAGUGUUCAUAUUCGGCAACUGGGUGAUUGGACACAGGAGCUUAAAAGGGUGUUCUCUGAGGCCUGUGAGCCUCCUGUAUCUGGGAAGAGUGGGCUUC
rnacentral:lncRNA from 1 species